ACUCAAAUGAAUUGACGGGGGCCCGCACAAGCGGUGGAACAUGUGGUUUAAUUCGAAGCUACGCGAAGAACCUCACCAGGGCUUGACAUAUGGGAAGUAGUGAAAUGAAAGUGGAACGACCUGUCAAGUCAGGAACCUAUACAGGUGCUGCAUGGCUGUCGUCAGCUCGUGUCGUGAGAUGUUGGGUUAAGUCCCGCAACGAGCGCAACCAUUAUCCUUUGUUGCCACUUUUCCCACCUUCGGGUGGGAAGAAGCACUCUAAGGAGACUGCCUGGGAUAACCAGGAGGAAGGUGGAGAUGACGUCAAGUCAGUACGGCCUUUAUGCCCUGGGCGACACACGUGUUACAAUGGGUAAGACAGAGGGUUGCCAACCCGCGAGGGGGAGCUAAUCUCUAAAAUUUAUCCUCAGUUCAGAUUGGAGUCUGCAAUUCGACUCCAUGAAGCCGGAAUCGCUAGUAAUGGCAGAUCAGCACGCUGCCGUGAAUACGUUCCCGGGCCUUGCACACACCGCCCGU
rnacentral:rRNA from 1 species